rnacentral:sRNA from 1 species
GUCGGAGGUCAAUGCCAGGCGCAUGAUCGGCUGGCUGUCGGAAUCCGCCUUCACGAUGCGCGGCUCGUCGGCAUCAUCAGGCAAUUGGCCGGUGAUCCGGCCGAGCGCAUCGCGAACGUCGU